AUUGAACGCUGGCGGCAGGCCUAACACAUGCAAGUCGAAUGGUAACAGGAAACAGCUUGCUGUUUCGCUGACGAGUGGCGGACGGGUGAGUAAUGUCUGGGAAACUGCCUUAUGGAGGGGGAUAACUACUGGAAACGGUAGCUAAUACCGCAUAACGUCUCAAGCCCAAAGAGGGGGACCUUCGGGCCUCUUGCCAUCAGAUGUGCCCAGAUGGGAUUAGCUAGUAGGUGGGGUAACGGCUCACCUAGGCGACGAUCCCUAGCUGGUCUGAGAGGAUGACCAGCCACACUGGAACUGAGACACGGUCCAGACCCCUACGGGAGGCAGCAGUGGGGAAUAUUGCACAAUGGGCGCAAGCCUGAUGCAGCCAUGCCGCGUGUAUGAAGAAGGCCUUCGGGUUGUAAAGUACUUUCAGCGGGGAGGAAGGGAGUAAAGUUAAUACCUUUGCUCAUUGACGUUACCCGCAGAAGAAGCACCGGCUAACUCCGUG
rnacentral:rRNA from 1 species